rnacentral:rRNA from 1 species
GAUGAACGCUGGCUGCGGGCUUAACACAUGCAAGUCGAGGGGAAACGACAUGGAAAUCUUGCUUUUGCUGGGGGUCGACCGGCGCACGGGAGAGGAGCACGUCUCCCAUCUGCCCAUGACAUGGGAAUGACAUUGCGGAAGUAAGACUAGUACACAUUGUUAUCCCCCGAAGGCAUUGGAAAGGGACUGAAGUUUUGUCGGUGAUGGAUGGGGAGGCGUCUGAUUAGCUUGUUGGCGGGGUAACGGCCUACCAAGGCAACGAUCAGUAGGGGUUCUGAGAGGAAGGUGCCCCAGAUGGGAACCGCGCACCGGGCCACACUGCUACGGGAGGCAGCAGUAAGGAAUAGUGGACAAUGGGAGAGAGCCUGAACCAGCCAAGUAGCGUGCAGGAAGGCGGCCCUAUGGGUUGUAAACUGCGUUUAUAAGGGAAUAAAGUGGGUCACGUGUGACUUUUUGCAGGUACCUUAUGAAGAAGGACCGGCUAAUUCCGUG